rnacentral:rRNA from 1 species
CCUACGGGUGGCAGCAGUGAGGAAUAUUGGUCAAUGGACGAGAGUCUGAACCAGCCAAGUAGCGUGAAGGAUGACUGCCCUAUGGGUUGUAAACUUCUUUUCUGUGGGAGUGAAACAGGGUAUGCAUACCAUCUAGUAUAUACCAUAUUACUAAGUAGCGGCUAAGUCCGUACCAGCAGCCGCGGUGAUACGGAGGUUCCGAGCGUUAUCCGGCUUUAUUGGGUUUAAAGGAAGCGUAGGUGGAUUGUCAAGUCAGUUGUGAAAGUUGUCGGCUCAACCGUAAAAUUGCAGUUGACACUGGCUGUCUUGAGUACAGUAGAGGCGGGCGGAAUUCGUGGUGUAGCGGUGAAAUGCGUAGAUAUAACGAAGAACUCCGAUUGCGAAGGCAGUCUACUGGACUGCAACUGACAGUGAUGCGCGAAAGCGUGGGGAUCAAACAGGAUUAGAUACCCUGGUAGUC